rnacentral:sRNA from 2 species
CUUUUGCAAAAGGGAUUGCAGCGGCAUCCUUUUUUAAAUGGCUAUUUGUUUAGCCAUUUAAAAAAGAUAUAGCGUAAAGCCCGACCUGAG